rnacentral:tRNA from 5 species
GCCGAGAUGGCGGAACUGGCAGACGCGCCAGACUUAGGAUCUGGUGGGGAGACCCGUCGGAGUUCAAAUCUCCGUCUCGGCA